rnacentral:rRNA from 1 species
CGCCCCAUUACCUCCAUAGCGUAUAUUAAGUUGUUGCGGUAAAAAAGCUCGUAGUUGGAUUUCUGCUGGGGUGAGCCGGUCCGGACCUUGUCUGUGUAUCUGGUUUCGCCUCGGCAUCCUCUCGGGGCACGGUUCUGCGCUUGAUUGCGUGGCCCGGAUCCCGGGACUUUUACUUUGAGGAAAUUAGAGUGUUCACGGCAGGCUAUCGCCAGAAUACAUUAGCAUGGAAUAAUACUAUAGGAAUUUGAUUCUAUUUUGUUGGUUUCUAGAAUCAGAUUAAUGAUUAAUAGGGACAAUUGGGGGCAUUCGUAUCAACACGUCAGAGGUGGAAUUCUUGGAUUGUGUUGCGACCAACUACUGCGAAAGCAUUUGCCAAGGAUGUUUUCAUUGAUCAAAAACCAAAGUACGGGGAUCCAAGAAGAAUUGAAUCCGUCGUAGUCCGUACCCAAAACCAUGCCCCCCAAGGAUAGGGGAUUCGUUCACUCACGACUUGCUCCGCACCUUAUGAGAUAUCAAAAGUUUUUGGGCUCCGGGGGGAGUAUGGUCGCAAGAUUGAAACUUAAAGGAAUUGACGGAAGGGCACCACCAGGAGUGGAGCCUGCGGCUUAAUUUGACUCAACACGGGAAAACUCACCAGGUCCAGACAUAAUGAGGAUUGACAGAUUGAUAGCUCUUUCUUGAUUUUAUGGGUGGUGGUGCAUGGCCGUUCUUAGUUCGUGGAGUGAUUUGUCUGCUUAAUUGCGUUAACGAACGAGACCUUAACCUGCUAAAUAGCGCACCUAUCUUCGGAUAAGUGCCUGUCUUCUAGAGGGACUUUGUGCGUUUCAGCAUGAGGAAGUUUGAGGCUAAAACAGGUCUGUGAUGCCCUUCGAUGUUCUGGGCUGCACGCGCGCUACACUGAUGCGUUCAACGAGUGUACAACCUGCCCGAAGGUGGGUACCUUUGACACGCAUCGGGAUGGGGAUUGACUAUUGCAUUAUUAGUCAUCACAAGGAAUUCUAGUAUGUAAAUCAUCAGUUUUCUGGAUACGUCCUGCCUUUUACAACCGCCCGUCGCUCUUCCAUGGACAUCCGGUGAAAUUUUGACCACCAUUGGAACCAUGCCCUUGGCAU